rnacentral:rRNA from 1 species
UAAGACGAACCGUCCUAACGUUGUUCGGAUUCACUGGGCUUAAAGGGCGCGUAGGCGGGUGAGCAAGUCCGGGGUGAAAUCUUUCGGCUUAACCGGAAAACGGCCUUGGAUACUGCUCAUCUUGAGGGAGGUAGGGGUCUGUGGAACUUCCGGUGGAGCGGUGAAAUGCGUUGAUAUCGGAAGGAACGCCGGUGGCGAAAGCGACGGACUGGACCUCUUCUGACGCUGAGGCGCGAAAGCCAGGGUAGCGAACGGGAUUAGAUACCCCGGUAGUCCUGGCCCUAAACGAUGGGUACUAGGUAGUGGACUUAACAUGGGUUCACUGCCGAAGCAAAAGUGGUAAGUACCCCGCCUGGGGAGUAUGGUCGCAAGGCUG